UACGUAGGGGGCAAGCGUUGUCCGGAUUUAUUGGGCGUAAAGAGCUCGUAGGCGGUUCCGUAAGUCGGGUGUGAAAAAUCUGGGCUCAACCCAGUGGAGCACCCGAUACUGCGGUGACUCGAGUCCGGUAGGGGAGUGUGGAAUUCCUGGUGUAGCGGUGAAAUGCGCAGAUAUCAGGAAGAACACCCGUGGCGAAGGCGGCUCUCUGGGACGGUACUGACGCUGAGACGCGAAAGCGUGGGGAGCGAACAGG
rnacentral:rRNA from 1 species